AGCACAAAUGAUCAGCUGAGGCCUGCUUGUGUACCUACUUUAUCGGGAAUUAAAGUGGAAAGUGUUGCUGCUGGACUAUAGCAUACCAUUUGUAUCACCGCCAAUGGCCAUGUAUAUGCCUUUGGUGGGAAUCAGUUUGGACAAUUGGGAACUGGAGCUGACCUGGCUGAGGCACACAGCAAAACCUGUCUUUCUUUUCUGGGGAUAUGAUCUCUUGAACGCCUUGUGUUGAUCAAGUAAUUUCAAAUGACCAAGAAAAAGAAAAAAUGAAAAACCUCUCUCCAUUACUUAGCAAACUGUUAAUUGCAUUGUUUUUCCUAAUUUACUAAUAUUUCAAUGAUUGUAUCUGUCACAUCCUGUGAUAAAGUUGCAUGACAAAGAUGCCUUGAGCUUAUUUAUCUGCAUAUGGAUUUUACUCGUGGCUGUUGUUAAUGUUCAAUUCUUUCAUUUGGUUUAAUGAAAUGCCUGUAUUGGUAAAUUAACUAAAGAUUUAUUUGUAUCUCAGCUCCAGACUCAACCAACGCAAUUGGAUGCUCCAUGUUUGGAAAGUAGGUGUGCAAAAAUUGUUUCUUGUGGGGCUAGACAUAGU
rnacentral:misc_RNA from 1 species